rnacentral:tRNA from 1 species
GGGGAUUUGGCUCAGUGGUAGAGCACUUGCCUAGUAAGUGCAAGGCCCUGGGUUCGGUCCCCAGCUCCA